AGGGAGCUUGCUCCCGGAUGUUAGCGGCGGACGGGUGAGUAACACGUGGGUAACCUGCCUGUAAGACUGGGAUAACUCCGGGAAACCGGAGCUAAUACCGGAUAGUUCCUUGAACCGCAUGGUUCAAGGAUGAAAGACGGUUUCGGCUGUCACUUACAGAUGGACCCGCGGCGCAUUAGCUAGUUGGUGGGGUAAUGGCUCACCAAGGCGACGAUGCGUAGCCGACCUGAGAGGGUGAUCGGCCACACUGGGACUGAGACACGGCCCAGACUCCUACGGGAGGCAGCAGUGGG
rnacentral:rRNA from 1 species